GACGAACGCUAGCGGCGUGCUUAACACAUGCAAGUCGAGCGAUGAAGCACCUUCGGGUGUGAAUUAGCGGCGAACGGGGGAGGAACACGUGAGAAAUCUGCCUUCAACACUGGGAUAACUCCGGGACACCGGGGCUAAUACCGGAUAUGAAACCUGCGGGAAUCCGCGGGUUUGGAAAGUUUUUUGGUUGAAGAUUAUUUCGCGGCCUAUCAGCUUGUUGGUGAGGUAAUGGCUCACCAAGGCUACGACGGGUAGCCGGCCUGAGAGGGCGACCGGCCACACUGGGACUGAGACACGGCCCAGACUCCUACGGGAGGCAGCAGUGGGGAAUAUUGGGCAAUGGAGGAAACUCUGACCCAGCGACGCCGCGUGCGGGAUGAAGGCCUUCGGGUUGUAAACCGCUUUCAGCAGGGAAGAAGCGAAAGUGACGGUACCUGCAGAAGAAGCACCGGCUAACUAUGUGCCAGCCGCCGCCGUAA
rnacentral:rRNA from 1 species